UGGAUCCUUUUGGAAAGGUGAGGGUUGGGGUUCUGGGCCUUCUAUGUCUCUUCUGUAUCUAUUAUGGUUUUCAUUCUCUUUUUUAUUACUAGAGAUAGAAAAUCCAAUGCAAAUUGGUUUAAAUAUACAGGGGACUUUAUUGCUUAUAUAAGUGAAAAUGGGCAUCAGUUAAGUUUUGAUCCAGCUGCUCAAAUGAUAUAUAAUCAUGGACUCAGUUUCUCUAAGGUUUCCACUCUGCCCUUCACAGUGUUCCUAUCCUUCUCAGGCUCCAUAUGCUGUCCUCCCCACCAUUGCUAUCCCCACAGAGCCAAGAUCUCUCCAUGUGAUGGAGAAAAGCAACCCUACAGAUGUUGACUUCACAUCACGGAGCCACAAUAUCCAGCAGAAAAGCAUCUCUUCUUGGGAAUCCAUUCACUUUCUCAUUAGCCUUACUGGGUCAUGUGCCCAUCUCUGAGCCAAUCACGGUGGGAAAUGGGCUAUGCUGGGUGUCUUCGGCCAAUCACAGGGCAUCUCUGUAAUGAGUCCAUUCCAAGUCUACCAGUGAGAAAGUAGGCGGUAGGAAUGAUGCUGGAGAGGCACCACCAAUUGACUGCUACCCUUUGCCCUUCAUUAACUCUAAUCCUUAAUGACAUUGACACCUGCAGGCAGACUUUGGAAAAAGGCGUUUAUUGGUGUGGUGGUCUCAACACUCCCCAUGAAUUGGAACACAUGGCCCCCAGGGCCCCCCACCCCCUCCCUAGCAUCCCUCCCCUGUCCCACCCCAUCCCCUGGACCCUGGGAAUGGAAGACAAUGUGGGAUGGGGCCCAUGCCCCCGUCUGAGGUACAGUCACUGCGCCUUGCCCUCUCCUUUUCUCCACCAGACUCUGGGUGGUGUGGUUUGGGGUGGGUGUUUAUAUAGAGGGUCUCCUGGGAGUCGGAGUUGGUGACAUGGCAUCUUUGUCUGGGCUCAGGAUGUCUGUGUGAUGCCUCUCUGUCCCCCACUUUGUGUGGUGUGGUGUACCAGGGUGGAGUGUUCCUACAGUCAGAGCUGAGGCUGCGGCCUCUCAGCGUCCCUUCCUGACACCAGAUGCCUACCCAGGGGGAAAUACAGCUAGUCACCAGCUACCGGACAGCUGGAGCCAGGGGGCUAUUGCUGGUCACAGUCGCUGGUGUGUGUGUGUGUGUGUGUGUGUGUGUCUGUGUGUGUGUAUGUGUGUGUGGUGCGUCUGAGUGUCUGUGAGGGCGGUCAGGUAGCCUUUGGGAGGUACAGUUGGUGGAGAGGCCAGGAAGUGAUAGACCAGCAAGCUCACACCUGUGGGCCAGCUGCAAAGGCCCCAAGGGCAGCUGGCUGGUGCCGCAGGUGGGGAAAUCAAGGCCAAGGGGAGUGGUGGCAAGGGUAGGGCAAAGCACUGAAACAGACAGGUGACUCCUGCCACCAGUCUGACAGUUGGAUGGAAGCACCGAUUGGCCCAGGAGGGGGCCAGAAAAUCCAGGGUGUGGAGGGACAGGAAAAGUGGGAAGGUCUCAGGCCACUGAGCCAGCGAUGGGGCCUCUGGCUACAGGAAGCUGGUGGUUGACAGCAGGGAAGCCCAGAGCCUAGAUGGAGGUCCCCCACUUACUCACAAAGGCUGAAUGACAGCUUGACAGGUGAGUGCGAUGCCCCUCCCCACUCCCAACCUGCCAGGAGUUGCCCUUUCGACAGGGGGAGGGGUAGUGUGCGUGCAUAUAUUGGGGAAGCAGGGAGCCUGGUAAGCCUCUCUUCACAGCUUCCACUGCAGAGCCUCAUACCUACCUCCAGCCAGAGGUGAGAGGCAAUAGGGUUGGGGACAGUGGACAUGGGGGUUUUGGGGGCGGGAGGACGGCUGAGUCCCUUCCCCCAGCCCACCCCCCCACACACACACAAACAGAGACACAGACACCUACACAUGCAUGCAGGCUCACACUCACACACCCACACCCACACAAGCCAGUUGACAGCCUGAGCUAAGAGAGAGGGGUAUGGGGUGGCGGGAGUGGGUCACAAUCGGAAACGUGAACGGGUGGCGAGAAUGGCUGUAGAAAGAUGCAUAAUUUUGCGUUAUCCCUCACAGUGAUGGGUUCUCUGAAGAUCUUUCUUCCUCUGCCUCCUCCUCUUCUCCUCUCUCUUCUUCCUUGGUGGCCGAGAGCUCUUCUGCCCCCACGAGACCCACGGCUCUUGCUCCCCCGUUUCUCUCACUCUUGGCCUGAGGCCCCCUGCAGGGGGAGGUGAGCUCCACUGGGUUGCGCCUACAUUCUCCACCACAGCCAGCCCAGGGCGGAGAGGAGGGCCAGGAGCCCUGGGGGCCUCGGGGCUGAGUUCUCCAGGGAUCCUGGGCCUGGGGGAAGAGAAGGGG
rnacentral:lncRNA from 1 species